AAACCUCUUUCACAGAUUCAACCUUUUGUUUGCUUGAGGGCAAGCAAAAGCUAAGUCCGGGGGAGUUGAUAUGUCCUGGUUUUUACUGAUUUCUAACAUAGUUUCAGAAUUGUUUUUAGAGUCUUUCUAGUCUUUUUCGUAUGUUUUGAGUUAUUUCAU
rnacentral:sRNA from 1 species